UAGCCUUUGCUCUUCCUUCUCAGACAUGCA
rnacentral:piRNA from 1 species